UACAGAGGGGGCAAGCGUUGUUCGGAAUUACUGGGCGUAAAGGGCGCGUAGGCGGCCUUCUAAGUCGAACGUGAAAUCCCCGGGCUCAACCCGGGAACUGCGUCCGAUACUGGAAGGCUUGAAUCCGGGAGAGGGAUGUGGAAUUCCAGGUGUAGCGGUGAAAUGCGUAGAUAUCUGGAGGAACACCGGUGGCGAAGGCGGAUCUCUGGGCCUUACCUGACGCUCAGGUGCGAAAGCUAGGGGAGCGAACAGG
rnacentral:rRNA from 1 species